AGCGGAGGAAAAGAAACUAACAAGGAUUCCCCUAGUAACGGCGAGUGAACCGGGAAAAGCUCAAAUUUGAAAUCUGGCGUCCUCAGGGCGUCCGAGUUGUAAUCUAUAGAGGCGUUUUCCGUGCCGGACCGUGUCCAAGUCCCUUGGAACAGGGUAUCAAAGAGGGUGACAAUCCCGUACUUGACACGACUACCGGUGCUCUGUGAUACGUCUUCUACGAGUCGAGUUGUUUGGGAAUGCAGCUCAAAAUGGGUGGUGAGUUCCAUCUAAAGCUAAAUAUUGGCGAGAGACCGAUAGCGAACAAGUACCGUGAGGGAAAGAUGAAAAGCACUUUGGAAAGAGAGUUAAACAGUACGUGAAAUUGUUGAAAGGGAAACGAUUGAAGUCAGUCGUGACCGAGAGGCUCAGCCGGCUCUGCCGGUGUAUUCCCCUCGGUCGGGUCAACAUCAGUUUUGUCCGGUGGAUAAGGGCGGUAGGAAGGUGGCACCCACGGGUGUGUUAUAGCCUGCCGUCGCAUACACUGGGUGAGACUGAGGAAUGCAGCUCGCCUUUAUGGCCGGGGUUCGCCCACGUCCGAGCUUAGGAUGUUGACAUAAUGGCUUUAAACGACCCCAGUUGAACCAC
rnacentral:rRNA from 1 species